rnacentral:rRNA from 1 species
GACGAACGCUGGCGGCGUGCUUAACACAUGCAAGUCGAACGAUGAACCCGGAGCUUGCUCCGGUGGAUUAGUGGCGAACGGGUGAGUAACACGUGAGUAACCUGCCCUUGACUCUGGGAUAACUGCGGGAAACUGUAGCUAAUACCGGAUACGACCCUCGGCGGCAUCGCCAGGGGGUGGAAAGAAUUUCGGUCAAGGAUGGACUCGCGGCCUAUCAGCUGGUUGGUGAGGUAACGGCUCACCAAGGCGACGACGGGUAGCCGGCCUGGGAGGGUGAUCGGCCACACUGGGACUGAUACACGGCCCAGACUCCUACGGGAGGCAGCAGUGGAGAAUAUUAGACAAUGGGCGCAAGCCUGAUCCAGCCAUGCCGCGUGAGUGAUGAAGGCCUUAGGGUUGUAAAGCUCUUUCAGUGGGGACGAUAAUGACGGUACCCGCAGAAGAAGCCCCGGCUAACUUCGUGCCAGCCGCCGCGGUAA